GCCGGGGUAGCCUAGCCUGGCUAGGGCGCCAGACUCAUAGUCCAGAGGUCGCGGGCUCGAAUCCCGCCCCCGGCACCA
rnacentral:tRNA from 1 species